rnacentral:rRNA from 1 species
ACCGAAUAGAUACCCCGGUAGUCCACGCCGUAAACGUUGGGCGCUAGGUGUGGGGGUCCUUCCACGACCUCCGUGCCGCAGCUAAACGCAUUAAAGCGCCCGCCUGGGGAGUACGGCCGCAAGGCUAAAACUCAAAGGAAUUGACGGGGCCCGCACAAGCGGCGGAGCAUGCGGAUUAAUUCGAUGCAACGCGAAGAACCUUACCAAGGCUUGACAUGUACAGGAAAGUUCCAGAGAUGGUUCCCCGCAAGGUCUGUACACAGGUGGUGCAUGGUUGUCGUCAGCUCGUGUCGUGAGAUGUUGGGUUAAGUCCCGCAACGAGCGCAACCCUCGUCUUAUGUUGCCAGCACGUAAUGGUGGGAACUCAUAAGAGACUGCCGGGGUUCAACUCGGAGGAACGUGGGGAUGACGUCAAAUCAUCAUGCCCCUUAUGUCUUGGGCUUCACGCAUGCUACAAUGGCCGGUACAAUGGGCUGCAAUACCGCAA